AUGCAGUCUGUCUUUAAGUAGAGAUAGAUUACUCUGAAAUAAGUGAAUCCUAGAUAGUUUUCCCUUCAAGUAAAACAUUUUGU
rnacentral:pre_miRNA from 1 species